GACGGAGGGGGCAAGCGUUGUCCGGACUCACUGGGCGUAAAGGGUGCGUAGGCGGUUGUGUGCGUCGGCGCUGAAAUCACGAGGCUUAACUUCGUGGCGCGUGCCGAUACGACACGACUUGAGGCUCUGAGAGGGUGGCGGAACUCCUGGUGUAGUGGUGAAAUGCGUAGAGAUCAGGAAGAACACCCGUGGCGCAAGCGGCCACCUGGCAGAGUUCUGACGCUGGGGCACGAAAGCGUGGGGAGCGAACCGG
rnacentral:rRNA from 1 species